UUUAAAUUUUUUGUUUUUCGAUUUACUUUGACCUUAAACUCCUCGUUACUAUUUGUUAUACACAUGGUUGAAACUCAUAAUAGGAUUCCAUAACUAAAAAAAGUGUCAUUCAAAUAUUGUGAUAUAAUUAACAGACCAUGUUUUAAAAUAGGCCACCCAGAAAAUUUUAAUUUGGGUCAUGUUAUCUGGUUUGAGAUUGUGCCUGACUUGCUACAAGUAAAAGAGAGAAUUCGUGAGAGAGAAACAUAGAAUGGUGUAUUAUCCAGUAGCCUUCUGUUAAAAUGAAGUGGAAUGUUCAUUUCUGAGCACCAACCAUCCAGGCACGUGGGUUGUACCUGAGACUAGAACUACACAGAUCCCAGCAUCCAUGUUAAUCACAUUCUGGGAGAAUGGGGAAUGCGAGAGCACAGAGGGUAAAUAAUGAACACAGUAAAUGGGCAAAGUAUAUAGUAUUAGAAGGUGACACAGGACUGUAGAAAAAAAGAAAAGAACAAAUCAAGGUACCUCAGGGCGAUCAGGAGUGCCAGUCUUUUUUUUUUUUUAAUUUAAUUUAAUUUUUAAUAUAAUUUAUUGUCAAAUUGGCUUACAUACAAUACCCGGUGCUCAUCCCAACAAGUGCCCUCCUCGAUGCCCAUCACCCAUUUCCUCCUCUCCCCUACCCACCUCCCCCCAUCCACCCUCAGUUUGUUCUCUGUAUUUAAGAGUCUCUUAUGGUUUGCCUCCCUCCCUCUCUGUAAAUUUUUUUUUUUCCCUUCCCUUCCCUCAUGGUAUUCUGUUAAGUUUCUCAAGAUCCACAUAUGAGUAAAAACAUAUGAUAUCUGUCCUUCUCUGACUGACUUAUUUCACUCAGCAUAAUACCUUCCAGUUCCAUCCACAUUGCUGCAAAUGGCCAGAUUUCAUUCUUUCUCAUUGCCAAGUAGUAUUCCAUUGUAUAUAUAAACCACAUCUUCUUUAGCCAUUCAUCAGUUGAUGGACAUUUAGGCUCUUUCCGUAAUUUGGCUAUUGUUGAAAGUGCUGCUAUAAACAUUGGGGUACAAGUGCCCCUAUGCAUCAGCACUCCUGUAUCCCUUGGGUAAAUUCCUAGUAGUGCUAUUGCUGGGUCAUAGGGUAGUUCUCUAUUUUUAAUUUUUUUAGGAGUGCCAGUCUUAGGUGGUGGGAGAUUAAGAUAUCAAGUAAGUAGUUAGGGCAGGUCUUUAGGGAGAAGAGGAGAGGAAAGCAAAGAUUGGAAGGAGAGGGAGUUAGCUAAGUAGAUGUCAUGGAACAGUUAGAACAAAGGUCCUAAGGCGCUGGAUGGUUUAUUUUGAUGAAUGUUUAUUCUUCAAGAGUAUCUGUCAUUGUCACUAAUUUUUAAAAUUUAAUGUUUUCUUUUCCCUAUAAUUUUGAUGUUAUUAUAAUAUGCCAUUAUUGUUUUUUAUUCUCUAUAAAAGGACAUUAUAAUAUAUAGGGAAGUUUUGAGUACAGUUGUAAAAUUAACAAGCAUGAGCCCACCCUCUAACUGAAAAAUAGAACCGUCAUUACUUGGAAAUCCUUGUGUGCCCUAGAUACAUCCCCCUCACUUCUCCUAGGGAUAAUCAGUCUCCUGACUUGUUAAAUUAUAACUAACUUGCUUUUCUUGGUGACUUUACCUUUUAUGUAUUCCUGAAUAAUAUACCCUUUUUAUUAUAGGUUAGUAUUGUUUUUAAGGUUUGUAAAAAUGGUAUCUGUUUAUGAGACUUACAUUUUUACUUAGGUUUCUGAGAUUUUGAUGUUACUGGAGUUCAGACAUUUUCUUUGCUUUGCACUUUCCAUUGUAUAAACAAAGCACAAUUUAUUUACCCAUUUUCUUGUUGAAAGACAUUUAGGUUUUUUCCUCUUCUUUUUUCUUUUAUGAAUAAUGCUGUAUAUUGUCACAUGUACCUCCUGAGGCAUAUAUAUUAAGAAUUUCUCUAGGGUAUUUACCUAACAGUAGAACUCCUGGGUCGUAAAUUAUAUACAUGUUCAGCUUUUUAAUUUAAUCCUGUAUUGUUUUUCAAAAAUGAUUAGACUACCUCAAACAGUAAUGGAUAAUAUAUAGCUCAUAUUAUUGUACAUCCUUUUUUUAUUUUGUCUUUCGGGUGAGUAUAAAAUGGUAUCUUAUGGCCUUAAUUUGCAUUUUCUCUGAUUGUCAAUAAAGCCAAAGAUCUUUUCGUGU